CGCACAUUGCGCCCUUUGGUAUUCCGAAGGGCAUGCCUGUUCGAGCGUCAUUUCACCACUCAAGCCUGGCUUGGUAUUGGGCGUCGCGGUUUUCCGCGCGCCUUAAAGUCUUCCGGCUGAGCUGUCCGUCUCUAAGCGUUGUGGAUUUUUCAAUUCGCUUCGGAGUGCGGAUGGCCGCGGCCGUUAAAUCUUUAUUCAAAGGUUGACCUCGGAUCAGGUAGGGAUACCCGCUGAACUUAA
rnacentral:misc_RNA from 1 species